GGAGCUGUGCCUGAAACAAAGGGUCACUUUGAUAGAGUGAAUCAUGAGGGAUAGAACCCCUCCACCUCCU
rnacentral:tRNA from 2 species